GCCUGGGUGGCUCAGCGGUUGAGCAUCUGCCUUUGGCUCAGGUCAUGAACCCAGAGGAUCUGGGAUCGAGUCCCACAUCGGGCU
rnacentral:tRNA from 1 species